rnacentral:misc_RNA from 1 species
AGCAGCCGCGGUAAUUCCAGCUCCAAUAGCGUAUAUUAAAGUUGUUGCAGUUAAAAAGCUCGUAGUUGAAUUUCGGGAUCAAAGGAUCGGUCAUGCCUUGGUAUGUACUGGUUUUAUUGGUUCUCACCUUCUAAAGAACCAUAAUGUCAUUCAUUUGAUGUUAUGGGGAAUUAGGACUGUUACCUUGAAAAAUUAGAGUGUUUAAAGCAGGCUUACGCUUGAAUACAUUAGCAUGGAAUAAUGAAAUAGGACAUCAGAUUCUAUUUUGUUGGUUUCUAGGAUCGAUGUAAUGAUUAAUAGGGAUAGUUGGGGGCAUUAGUAUUCAAUUGUCAGAGGUGAAAUUCUUGGAUUUAUUGAAGACUAACUACUGCGAAAGCAUUUGCCAAGGAUGUUUUCAUUAAUCAAGAACGAAAGUUAGGGGAUCGAAGACGAUCAGAUACCGUCGUAGUCUUAACCAUAAACUAUGCCGACUAGGGAUCGGAUGAUGUUAAUUUAUAAUGACUCAUUC